UCUAGCACCUUCGGUGUUCGAGUUGUAAUUUGAAGAUGGUAACCUUGGGUUUGGCUCUUGUCUAUGUUCCUUGGAACAGGACGUCAUAGAGGGUGAGAAUCCCGUCUGAUGAGAUGCCCAUUCCUAUGUAAGGUGCUAUCGAAGAGUCGAGUUGUUUGGGAAUGCAGCUCUAAGUGGGUGGUAAAUUCCAUCUAAAGCUAAAUAUUGGCGAGAGACCGAUAGCGAACAAGUACAGUGAUGGAAAGAUGAAAAGAACUUUGAAAAGAGAGUGAAAAAGUACGUGAAAUUGUUGAAAGGGAAGGGCAUUAGAUCAGACUUGGUGUUUUACGAUUAUCUUCUCUUCUUGAGUUGUGCACUCGUAUUUCACUGGGCCAGCAUCGAUUCGGAUGGCAAGAUAAUGGCAGUUGAAUGUGGCUUCACUUCGGUGGAGUGUUAUAGCUUCUGCUGAUAUUGCCUGUCUGGAUCGAGGGCUGCGUCUUUUGACUAGGAUGCUGGCGUAAUGAUCUAAUGCCGCCCGUCUUG
rnacentral:rRNA from 2 species